rnacentral:lncRNA from 1 species
GCCGCUCUCUGCAUGGAGUGGAGUGGAAGUCUACCGCGAGACCACGUGAGCUGAGAGUUCUUAUGGCCUUCCAGCUCGGAAAGCAGUCUUGGAAGUUACUUGUCCAGCAUGAUACAUCCUCACCACAGGCCUUAGAAGAGAUCAUUCUUUGUUUUUCCUAAGCUAUGAUCUUUCUUUGUAUUCCCUGAUAUUUUGUGAGUGAAAUAUGUGUAAGCUUUUUUCUUUUUUAACAAAUGACAAAGGUAUUUCAUGAUAUUUUAU